rnacentral:rRNA from 1 species
AUUGAACGCUGGCGGCAGGCCUAACACAUGCAAGUCGAACGGUAACAGGAAACAGCUUGCUGUUUCGCUGACGAGUGGCGGACGGGUGAGUAAUGUCUGGGAAACUGCCUGAUGGAGGGGGAUAACUACUGGAAACGGUAGCUAAUACCGCAUAACGUCGCAAGACCAAAGAGGGGGACCCUCGGGCCUCUUGCCAUCGGAUGUGCCCAGAUGGGAUUAGCUUGUUGGUGGGGUAACGGCUCACCAAGGCGACGAUCCCUAGCUGGUCUGAGAGGAUGACCAGCCACACUGGAACCGAGACACGGUCCAGACUCCUACGGGAGGCAGCAGUGGGGAAUAUUGCACAAUGGGCGCAAGCCUGAUGCAGCCAUGCCGCGUGUAUGAAGAAGGCCUUCGGGUUGUAAAGUACGUUCAGCGGGGAGGAAGGGAGUAAAGUUAAUACCUUGGCUCAUUGACGUUACCCGCAGAAGAAGCACCGGCUAACUCCGUG